CACGACGCUCACUCCAUCAUCCAUCGACACAUUGCACCCCCCCGGUUCGUUCAUUCCUUCGUUCCGCCAUUGACAAACGCUCAACGAAGCCAUCAUGAAUCCACGCACAGAGAACGAUCGAGAGGAGGAGGGAGGGAGAGAGAGAGAGAGAGAGAGAUACAGCAACGGCGGAGCUGAAGAUUUCUUGUUUAAUUCCGUUUCUGUAUAUGAGCUUCUUCCUCUCAGAGCAUUAUUUUGCGUUAGUUCAUUCGCGUUUGACAUUGACGGCUGCGUGCUUUCGUCAUUGGUGUAUCAUGAUAUGCUUCCGGUGGGUGCUUUGAUUUUAGCUUAGAUUCGUGAUUUCGGUGUGGUGGGUGGAUACGAGAUGGAUGGGAAGUCACUGGAGGCAGCGGUUCAUCGAUCUCUUCCUGGAUUUUGUUGUGAAAAAUACUCAAACAGAACAUGAAUGGGUCGAUAAACCUCUGCAUCCAGCGCCCGGUCCUCUCUUGAAUCGGCUCCCCGUUGACUCUGCUUCCUAUUGAGAUGUGAGCUCUCGUCAUGUCCGCUUUGCAUCUCAACUACAUACAUCUCCAUCUCCCUCCCUCCUCACAACCCUCGUUUCAUGUUAGUGUAGAUUCUCCUCUAGAUUCAUAGAUUAUCAUUUACGCUUUGUCUGGUAUCCCGGUGUAGUCCGGAAUAUUUCCUAUCUAGCUAUUUUUUCCUGCCGGGAUUCAUAAUUUGAUGGAUGGAGUCCGAUUUUGAGUUGAUAUUUAUUGAGCUCGACUGCAAUAUAUUAGAUAUGGGAAGGGGGUAGACGGAUUAUCCGUUGGGUGAUCGGUUUUAUUCGGAGACUGCGGCAAGUAAUGACGUCUAGAAAUAUCUUGUUUUGGUAAUUAAUUUGCUGGUCCCGGGAAAUGAAGGAAGGUUGCAAGUAAGUGUAACCCGGGAUUGUGCUUCAAUGUGAUAUAACGGAAAGGGGAAAAUCAUGGAUUUCAUUAUUUUAUCGGGAUGAGAUUAUGGAUAAUAUUUCCCUCCGAGCAGCAUGUAUGGUUAAUAUCAAGGUGUUGGCAAAUGUGGUUCGCAUUAUUUUCAGAUUUCAUAGCAAAUUCUGAUCUAAAUAUGAGUUCUUGAAUUCAUUUCUCCAUUUGGUCUCCUCAUUAAUUAUGUUUCCUCGCCUCAAAAGAUUGUUGAAUCUUUUCUUAGUUGGAGCAUAUUAAGUUCAUCAACUUGAUGAUCGAAUAUAUCGGUGGAUUUGUUUCUUUAUUCUCUCCAUUUCAUUGGUGAGAACCACCGAGAAGCGAAACUGCUCUGCCUAUGACUUUGUUUGUUGUGUAUGACUGUUUCUGGAACUGUUUCUUAUCGCAUUCAGAUUGAUGGUGCGGUUUAUGUUUGGAUUUUGUGCUGCCCAUGUGAUGACUCAUUAUGAAAUGGUCUAGUCCAGAAGUUCUUUUUCAUCAGCAAUAUUUCUUGUAUUAGCUGGCCUUUUGCUGAAGUUAUUUUGUGAAACGAUCUGUUGGAUUCUCUACUCAUUGCUCAACAAGAUACACUAUCUCGCCUCUAUACUAGAAUGUCUGUUCUCAAAUCAUGCCUAGAUUAAUAGACAUUCAUCUUUCGAUAUUAUUUUCCCUCCGUACAUGCUCAUGAUAUUGACAAAUGCGAGCAGGGUGAAAAGAUUAUGCCGGCAUACGGGAUUCAAGAUUUCAGAGGAAAGUGGCUACUUGGCUCUUUACGCGGAAAGGUUGUGGUCUCUGAGGUGAAAGUGUCUUUAGUGAGAGACGUGCUCUCGUCACGGCUUCUUCAAACUGAGGAUAAAACCACAGCUAAAGGUACCAACUUGGUGGAGAAUCCAUAUUUUUGCUCAUGUGAAUCAAAUUCCAUGGUACUUUAUGAAGUCAGGUUAAGAGAUUCCUAAUGCUUUGUCGGGGGAACCAACUAUGAUGAUGUGGAAGCUGUCCAAUUUCUGUUAGAAACCUAGGAUUCAGGUUGUUGCUUAUAAAAGGAAAGAAUCUGAGACAAAGCAUCUGCGGCUUGAGGAUAUUCUCUUUAGUUUGGUUGCCUAUGUCUUUUGAUAGAGAAACGAUGCUUUCGGUCCUUUUUUUUUUUUUUACCCUCCUUAAUCCUUUUAACGGGUUUUCCUAUUUUAUAACUCUCAUAUGAAACAAGUGUUAUUGGAUGAUAGAAGCUAUAGCCCCUGCCGUCGUGAGCGACUUGGAGGAUUUUUUGGAAUAUAUAGAUUGCUAUGUCGCAGUACUAAUCUCUCUAGUAUUAUCCGCGAUGAUGUGUGAAGUGGACUGGACUCUUUUUCGCCUUGUUAGGAGAAUAAUGGAUUUCUUUUGCUA